rnacentral:rRNA from 1 species
CCUACGGGGGGCUGCAGUCGAGAAUCUUCGGCAAUGGGCGCAAGCCUGACCGAGCGACGCCGCGUGGAGGAUGAAGGCCUUCGGGUUGUAAACUCCUGUCGAGGGGAGGGUUGAUCCCUGGAGGAAGCACGGGCUAAGUUCGUGCCAGCAGCCGCGGUAAGACGAACCGUGCGAACGUUAUUCGGAAUCAUUGGGCUUAAAGCGCGUGUAGGCGGAUUCGUGCGUCGUCGCUGAAAUCCCCCGGCUCAACCGGGGAACGGGCGCCGAUACGACGAGUCUGGAGGGGCAUAGGGGGACCUGGAACUUCCGGUGGAGCGGUGAAAUGCGUUGAGAUCGGAAGGAACGCCCGUGGCGAAAGCGAGGUCCUGGUGCUACUGACGCUGAGACGCGAAAGCCAGGGGAGCGAACGGGAUUAGAUACCCUUGUAGUC